GACGAACGCUGGCGGCGUGCUUAACACAUGCAAGUCGAACGGAGUGGCGAACGGGUGAGUAACAUGUGGGUGAUCUGCCUUGCACUGCGGGAAAAGCUUGGGAAACUGGGUCUAAUACCGGAUAGUACAAGCUGAUUUCGCGGCCUAUCAGCUUUUUGGUGGGGUAAUGGCCUACCAAGGCGUAGACGGGUAGCCGGCCUGAGAGGGUGUACGGCCCAACUGGGUCUGAGAGACGGCCCAGACUGCUACGGGAGGCAGGAGUCGGGAGUAUUGCACAAUGGGCGGAAGCCUGAUGCAGCGACGCCGCGUGGGGGAUGAAGGCCUUCGUGUUGUGAGCUCCUUUCGACAGGGACGCGGUACCUGUAGAAGAAGCACCGGCUAACUCCGUGCCAGCAGCCGCGGUAAUUC
rnacentral:rRNA from 1 species